CCUACGGGAGGCAGCAGUGAGGAAUAUUGGUCAAUGGGCGGAAGCCUGAACCAGCCAAGUCGCGUGAGGGAAGAAGGCCCUACGGGGCGUAAACCUCGUUUGCCGGGGAGCAAGGGCGGGGACGUGACCCGGCCCGGAGAGGACCCGGAGAAAAAGCAGCGGCGAACUCCGUGCCAGCAGCCGCGGUAAUACGGAGGAGGCGAGCGUUAUCCGGAUUUAUUGGGUUGAAAGGGUGCGUCGGCGGACUUUGAAGUCAGCGGGAAAAAUUCGGGGCUCAACCCCGUCCGGCCGUUGAAACGGGGGGCCUUGAGUGUGCGCGCCGCAGGCGGAAUGCGUGGUGUCGCGGUGCACUGCCUAGCUCUCACGC
rnacentral:rRNA from 1 species